CAGAACCUGUUGCAAAAGGAAAACAAAUUUCCAUUAAAAUUCUGCAAUGUACAAAAAAAGCAAGUAUGAUGCAAUUACUUCUACCUCUAUUGUCUCACUGAUUUUCCAAAAGUACUUUAGAAGUAUUUUCCACAAAUUACAGUGUUGCAAAUCCAGAACUGCAGAGCAAAUUUCUAUGUGUGUCAAAGAACUAAAGAGAAAUAAACAGCACAUGUAAGUAAUAGUACCUCACUGUGACAACAGAAAAGGACCAUUCACAAAAAACCCUGUGUUUCCUCAAAGCCUUGACAACAGAAAAACAAUUAUUUUGCAUACUCUUCCACUAACUCCUUCAGUUUUAAGUCAGGAAAACUUUUAAGUCACUUGACACUUUAGAAGAACAGGAAUUCUCUUGCAAAAGCAGAAUUUCCUGACUCAGGAACAUCAACAGCGAUGCAGUUAAAUAAAGAGCAAGACCAUGUGGUGCUUCCAUUAUUUGGGUAGCAGUAGAUUUGAACCUUAAAAAAACCCAACAAAACUAGCAGUUUCUUGUUAGAUUCAGUAUCUUAACCAGUGAAGGCAACUGCAACAUUCAAGAAAACAGCUCUAAAAAUAAAAUAUUUAAGGUAACCGGAUUAUCAGGGGUAGAGUGUGGCCAGUAUCUAUUUGCUGUACAAAAAGGACAGUUCACAACCAGAAAUAAUUAUCACAUGGAUUCUCAAGUCAUUUGGUCACUAUGAUGGCUGACCUAUAGAAACUAUCUGCAUGACCAGAACCAUAUUCACAGUAAUUGUAUUAAGAAGCAAACUUUGAAACUUGAGAGACAGAUGAAAUCAAAGUAACUCAAGUAAAAUGAACUUAAUUAUGUCAGUUUAUAUUAACAGAGCAUCUAACAAAUUUGAGAGAAUUAAAACAAAAAAUAUUUCUCUGUUUAAACUCUGGUUUCCCCAGGAAAGUCCAACAUUUACAAGCUUAGAAACUGGAAAUAAAGAAGAGGAUAAAAAACUUAAAGAUGAAGUAAGACUUCCUGUUUCUAAUUUUGUUUCUUUAAUACUGUUUUUUCUCCUCUCCCUGUACUACUCACAUGCAAUUUAUUAUAAACUGCCCCUUUCCUGAUUUCUGCUUAUGCAUAUAUGAGCAAUAACCAGAAAGCUGAAGAGAAGGUGUACAGAAAAAUCUAUGAGCAGCCUCCCAAUAACUACGAUGAGGUUGUGAAGACAGAGCCAGGUGCUCAUCAGAAAGCUGAGAGAGAGCAGGUCAAAUUGCAACAAGAAAAGUUCAAACUGAAUGUAAGGCAUGAGGGAAAUGAAGCGGUGGUGCAGGCUUCCCAGAGAGGUUGUGCAGUCUCUGCCCUUGGAGAUCCUUUACAAGACUUGAUGGCACAAAACCCUCAGCAACCUGGCCUGAUCUCAGAGCUGACCCUGUUUUGAGAACACGAUGGGACUAGAGAUGUCUCGUCAUCACCUCCUCUACUCCACUCUCAAUUAUCCUGUGAUCCUGUGAAGUGCAGGUCUCCUCUGUGGUGCCUUCUUUGCUGUGUACUACCUAAUGGUAAGUAAUAAUGUGCACUGCAAUGAGUGCAGCAUGCUUUACCCCUCCAUUUCAGAGAUAACCUGCUCUGAAUAAUUUGACAUGUACCACAAAACACUGGUGGGCUUCAAUCAACAUCACUUCUCUUUAGUAAAGCUUAUCCUGGAUGCCUGUAUAUAAAGGAAAACCAUACUGCAUAGAAUUAGUAUUCCUUCUGAAACUAUGCAUCUGGUUUACAGGGCACCUGGUUAAAAUUCCAAGGCGCCACUGCUAAUCACACCACAUUUGUGUGACGUGAGCUUUUUGAUACAUCAAGUCUCUGUAGAUAUAUGUAAUCAGGUAUCCCAUUAGAGAAAAGACAUUUGCAGCAUGUGAACAUAUUUUUAAAAGAUAUCAUUAAUACAUUGUUAAUUUCUAUUGCAAUGCUAUAACACCUGUUCACAGCAUUAGUAUUUAAGAAUUCAGGUUCUUGAUACACUAAACCAGAUGAAGCAAAGAUCAAAACUGCAGAAACCAGAUGACAAUUUGCUAAGUCACACUGACACGAUGCUGGGUCAGAUUCAUUCAGAAAUGUGGGAGGUUGGCUUUGAGUGAAUAAAAGUUACACAGAUUAGGCAACGAGUCCACACUGAAAUUACAGCAGCUUCGUGUUGGUAUCCCACAGGUCUUUGCGACAAUGUUGUUCGCAAUGUCCCCAAGAUCAGUAUCUCUAGAUCCUCAAAGCCUUUUCAAGUUGUUCUUUUAGAAUAAAUUUGGGAGACGGGGAGCAGCAGAAGCUGCAGCAGAUUUCUGACUCAGUACAGAAAGCACAGCCCUACGGUCAAGAGAAGAUCAGCCGAGUGAAGAUGAACUUUACAGAAUGGGAGUGACCAGCAAUAUACAAAGGAAGUGUGGUUGGCCCACCCAUCCAGAGGAUAUGACAGAUGACCAGAAAUCAAUUUGUCUGCUGUAUGAACUGAAGGUCAGCCAUGAGUCUUCCCUGCUGGACCUCCUUCUUGCCUUCAGAUGCCUGAACGCAACUACAACAUCACCCAACAGCUGCUCAGGCAGCAGCUGCUGGCAACUGCUCACCUUACCCGUAAAUAGGUUCUUUAGCUACAGCAUCAGAGGUUGCACAACCAAGCACAACUUCCCAAAGAAAAUCCACAUUGCUGCAAGGCUUAAAAUAAAUGGCAGCCAACAGCUGCUAUAGCUAUUUCCUGGGAAAGGAGAUGAACCAGAAGCAGGAGCAUCAUGGAUCUGCCCCAAAAAUCCUACAGCGCAACAGAGCUGGCAUCCAGCAAUCCAUGUGGAAGGCUGGCAGAGGGCAGCAAAGCAAACUGUGACAUGAAGCGGCACGCCAAUGCAUCCUGCCAAGGAAAAGCCCUCAGUAUGUGAACUAGGCUUUCUGGCAGAGAAUGUCUAAGUACUCAUGCCCAAGAACAGCUCUGACAACACACUGGUUGAUCUAGUUGUGCAAAUAUCUGGCAUGAAACUACAUCCUGUGUUCCUAUUGAGCUUAAAAAAAAAAAAAAAAGGCUGUUCUUGCAACUCAUAUUUCCUGACACAGAGGCAAUUUUUCACUUUUCUUAAACCACAGAUUAUAAAUCUGUUUAAACUGUGGGUGUUAACUUAAUCUAGAAAAACAGAUCUUGAAUAAAAGCAGCUCUUCAAACCUAGAUACAUUUAAAUAAAGUAUCAUUAGAAUAGUAAAGGAAUUCCAUCUUCAUAAAAUAGUAACAUAAUACAAUGCAACUUAUUUAAUUUAGAAAAAGCAAACUAACGACAACAAUUCAAUGCAGUGUGUGUCUUUUUUACCUGUACUAUCAGAAAUUGUUCUAUUUUUGUUUCUUUCCCUUUCAAUGUAUUAGAAAAGAACUCAGAGCAGAUAUUCUAAACCAGCAUACAAAGGAUGUUAUUGUAUUAACAUAAAACUGGUUUUGUGCUUUAAGGCUAAUACAGUGUUUUUAUUUACUUAGAACAAAUGUUUCCAACUCCAAUCUCACAACACUGAAAUGUCACUGUUAGUUCUUACCAACAGUUCUGUUGCAAAGAUAGUGCCGAACACUGAUAUUUCCCAGUUGAUUUGGUAUCACUCGGUUGACCUGGAGGCAUAUUUCUGUGUCUUCACCUCUGAUGUCAAUUUCA